UACAGAGGGUGCGAGCGUUGUCCGGAAUCACUGGGCGUAAAGGGCGCGUAGGCGGCUUGGCAAGUGGAAGGUGAAAUCCCUCGGCUUAACCGAGGAACUGCCUCCCAAACUGCUUGGCUUGAGACCGGGAGAGGUGAGUGGAAUUCCCAGUGUAGCGGUGAAAUGCGUAGAUAUUGGGAGGAACACCAGUGGCGAAGGCGGCUCACUGGACCGGUACUGACGCUGAUGCGCGAAAGCGUGGGGAGCAAACGGG
rnacentral:rRNA from 1 species